rnacentral:rRNA from 1 species
UACGUAGGGUGCGAGCGUUGUCCGGAAUUAUUGGGCGUAAAGGGCGCGUAGGCGGUGUGUCAAGUCAGACGUGAAAUCCCCCAGGCUCAACCUGGGAACUGCGUCUGAUACUGGAUGGCUUGAAUCCGGGAGAGGGAUGCAGAAUUCCAGGUGUAGCGGUGAAAUGCGUAGAUAUCUGGAGGAAUACCGGUGGCGAAGGCGGCAUCCUGGACCGGCAUUGACGCUGAGGAGCGAAAGCCAGGGGAGCAAACGGG